rnacentral:lncRNA from 1 species
UUCAUCGUCUCCAAGCUUGGAGACCUAAACCCUAGCGCCGCCCUAAUAUCCUCUCCGCCAUCUCUGCCGGCGGCGAGCCCCAAACCACCUCAAACUAACACCCUAGAACCCCCUCACUCCCCUCUUUCCAAAUCCACACUCCAUUACCCUCGAAUCUGUCCAUAACCCCUCGAAUCUUAGAUCCAAAUUCAAGCCUUAAAAGUUCAAAACCAGUUGCGGUCGAAUCUGGUGACAUUCAUCGACCCAGGAGUGCUUUUCUCAUGUUUGGAAGGUUGACUCACUACAAAGCUGAUGCUAAUCGUUAUUUCUUGACAGAGAAAAGCGACUGGUAUCAUUUUUGUAUGAGUCAAGAUAUCGAGUGUCAUUUCGAGUUUAGCUGGUAAGUUUCGUUUCAGUUUUGGGUCUGUUUAUGGUUUCAUUUUUACUUAUUGCCCCUCUUCUUUCUUUUCUUUUUCCUUAUUUGAAAUUUAACCAAAUUUUCGGCCAAGUUUGAGAUUUGUCAGUUUGGUUUUCGCUGCUUUUCCUUUUAUUCUUUUUGUUUCCAAGUCCGUUCUCAGGUCCUGCUUGAUUUGUUUGGUUUCUUUUGAUUAAAUAGCAUGGUUAUUGUUCCAAUUAGUCACCUAGUCAAUUUAAUUAGGGUUAUUUUGAUAACUUGGUUAAUUUCUUGCUCAUUUGUGUAAUCAGUUGAUUGGUAUAGGCUUAAUUCUCGGAAUUUUUCAAGUAUUUGCCCUUUGUUAGUUGUCUGGUUUGAUUUAAUCUAUCUAUGUUUGGGCUUUGAAGCCAUUACAGACCUCACCCCAAUGGGGGUUUAAUUUGGGUCAUUAUGUCAGAAUUGAGCCCACUUUUGGUUUCAUUAUCGGGUCAACUUGACCCAUUGGGUUUCAGGGGUAAUAACAGGGGUAGUCUAGGUUAAUUAGCAUAGGGAAUCUGGAUGUAACAACCUUAGGAAGCUUCAUAGAAAGGGGGGGGGGGGGUUUAGGACUAUUCUGAAAUGCUGAAAUUUACAACAGGGGCACCUAGGCUAAAAUGAAAGUUUCAGAAGGUGCAAAGUGUAAACCUGAUUUUCUUUAGGCUGCCCUAGUAGCUUGCCUAUAAAGGCAUCUUAACUUGACACUCAAGUCAGAAAAAUGGAGACAAAAUCUAGAGAAAACAAAAACCGCUGAAAAUUUCAAUAAAAUCAUUGUUUCAUUGAACUUCUUCUGUGAUUUUUGAAGUUUUCAAUUUCUGAAACAAUUUCUGAUUCAUCUCGGGUGGAAAUGGAUUGAAUUUGGAUUUGUAAAAGUUUGGUUUGAAGUUUGUUGUGUUAUUGUUCGAUUGAACUGUGUUUUUAGACUACUGCACAUCAUGUUUCUGGUUUGAAAUUGGUUUUACUUUUUAUUUCCUGCUGCUGAAGUUCUGGUUCUGCUGCUGUCUACUGCUUUCCUCACUUCUUUUCCUUUCAAUUUCCAGGUAAAUCUGUAAACUAUGAAGGACAAGUGAUUGUAGAGUUGCAUUGUCGAGUGGAAAUUGAUUGAACAUGAAAUUGUUUGAACUUUGAUGCUCUGUUUCUUCUAUUUCUGUAUUAUUUCUGUAGGGAUUCUGAAAUUACACAUGUUAUUUCAGUUUUCUUUCCCCAUGCUUUAAUAUUUUGUAAAGACAAAUUAGUGCUAUUUGAAGGUGAGAGUAAAUGUUUGGGUUUAAAGUGAAUGUAAUGCUCAGGAGUUGAACAUAAGGACCGAUUAUAGUAAACUUAUGAUCAGUUGUGUUUUAAGUGUCGAUCUUAGUUUUUUGAAUGAAUUUAGUAUAUGAUAUAGUAUUUCAAUAUGUUGCUUUGGUUCCACAAGUUUACUAUGAGAAAUUGAUUUUGU